GCCCCAGGCCAUAGCGCAGGGGUCAUACCCGAUCCCAUCCCGAACUUGGUAGUUAAGCCCUGCCGGGCCGAUGAUACUACGCGAGGUUCACAGGCUGGAAAGCCUGGGCCACCAGGGAAAGUAGGACGCCGCCGGAU
rnacentral:rRNA from 1 species